rnacentral:sRNA from 1 species
GUGACAGUCACCUUGUUGGCCUUCUAUGUCCGGGAAGAAUUAUAGUCACUGCCCUAAAGGGCUCAGAUCCUCAGUUUGCAGAAGGCCUAUAGUUGAACAUAAAGUGAAUUUUGAACCAUUGAGAAGACAUUCCGCUUCUCUUGAGCCAGUGGUUGAACUCAUAUUCUUGGACAACCUGCUCCAGAGGGAGACCCUCUGGUAAAUGCUGACCUAAUGUGGAUUGUUGAAGCAGUGGUGUUUACUACUAGCAGUGAAAACUUCAUUGGAAUUGUUCUCAGCUCUGAAAUGCACCAUUGACUGGAGCAGUAAUAAGCCCAAUGGAGACAGGGCUGUAAGUGUGUUCCUUCUGAAUGUUAACAGCUGGAGGUCCAUACUAUCUCCAAGGAUUUGAUGGCCUUUAAAAACUAAAGAAAAACCAGAUUGCUGCUAAAAUUGAUUCAAUUCCUCACUUGAAUAAUUCCACACCUCUAGUGGACCCCUCAGUAUAUGGAUACGGAGUACAAAAACGGCCCUUGGAUGAUGGAGUAGGUAACCAGUUAGGGGCCUUGGUACAUCAAAGGACGGUAAUAACGGAAGAAUUCAAAGUGCCUGACAAAAUGGUUGGAUUUAUUAUCGGCAGGGGAGGUGAGCAGAUUUCACGGAUUCAAGCAGAAUCUGGUUGCAAAAUUCAGAUUGC